rnacentral:rRNA from 1 species
UACGGGGGGGGCAAGCGUUGUUCGGAAUUACUGGGCGUAAAGGGCUAGUAGGCGGCCGACUAAGUCGGAUGUGAAAUCCCCAGGCUCAACUUGGGAACUGCAUCCGAUACUGGUGGGCUUGAAUCCGGGAGAGGGAUGCAGAAUUCCAGGUGUAGCGGUGAAAUGCGUAGAUAUCUGGAGGAAUACCGGUGGCGAAGGCGGCAUCCUGGACCGGCAUUGACGCUGAUCAGCGAAAGCCAGGGGAGCAAACGGG